AACUAACGCUGGCGGCGUGCCUAACACAUGCAAGUCGUACGAGAAAGUUGGCUUCGGCCGAUGAGUAAAGUGGCGCACGGGUGAGUAACGCGUGGAUAAUCUACCCCUCAGUUGGGAAUAACUCAUCGAAAGGUGGGCUAAUACCGAAUAAUACUACAUGACUUCUGUUGUGUAGUCAAAGAUGGCCUCUGCUUGCAAGCUAUCGCUGAAGGAUGAGUCCGCGUACCAUUAGCUAGUUGGUAGGGUAAUGGCCUACCAAGGCAACGAUGGUUAGCUGGUCUGAGAGGAUGAUCAGCCACACUGGAACUGAGACACGGUCCAGACUCCUACGGGAGGCAGCAGUGAGGAAUAUUGCGCAAUGGGGGCAACCCUGACGCAGCAACGCCGCGUGAGUGAGGAAGGUUUUCGGACCGUAAAGCUCUGUCGAGCGGGAAGAAAUGCAUAGUGGCUAAUAUCCAUUAUGCUUGACGGUACCGCUAAAGGAAGCACCGGCUAACUCCGUGCCAGCAGCCGCGGUAAUACGGGGGGUGCUAGCGUUGUUCGGAAUCAUUGGGCGUAAAGAGCGUGUAGGCGGCUGGAUAAGUCAGAUGUGAAAGCCCUGGGCUUAACCCAGGAAGUGCAUUUGAAACUGUUCAGCUUGAGUAAGGGAGAGGAAAGUGGAAUUCCUGGUGUAGAGGUGAAAUUCGUAGAUAUCAGGAGGAACACCGGUGGCGAAGGCGACUUUCUGGCCCUAUACUGACGCUGAGACGCGAGAGCGUGGGUAGCAAACAGGAUUAGAUACCCUGGUAGUCCACGCUGUAAACGAUGUUC
rnacentral:rRNA from 1 species